CAGAACGAACCCUGGCGGCGUGCCUAACACAUGCAAGUCGUACGAGAAAAUCCGCUUCGGCGGGUGAGUAAAGUGGCGCACGGGUGAGUAACGCGUGGAUAAUCUGCCUUUAAGCGGGGAAUAACUUACCGAAAGGUGGGCUAAUACCCCAUAAAGCUAUGGAGCUCCGGUUUUCAUAGCCAAAGAGAGCCUCUGCAUGCAAGCCCUCACUUAGAGAUGAGUCCGCGUACCAUUAGCUAGUUGGUGGGGUAAUGGCCUACCAAGGCGACGAUGGUUAGCUGGUCUGAGAGGAUGAUCAGCCACACUGGAACUGAGACACGGUCCAGACUCCUACGGGAGGCAGCAGUGAGGAAUAUUGCGCAAUGGGGGCAACCCUGACGCAGCAACGCCGCGUGAGUGAGGAAGGUUUUCGGAUCGUAAAGCUCUGUCGGGUGGGAAGAAAUGUAUGGAGGUUAACAGCCUUUGUACUUGACGGUACCGCCAAAGGAAGCACCGGCUAACUCCGUGCCAGCAGCCGCGGUAAUACGGGGGGUGCUAGCGUUGUUCGGAAUCAUUGGGCGUAAAGAGCGUGUAGGCGGCUAGGCAAGUCAGAUGUGAAAUCCCUGGGCUUAACCCAGGACGUGCAUUUGAAACUGCUUGGCUUGAGUAGGGAAGAGGGAAGUGGAAUUCCUGGUGUAGAGGUGAAAUUCGUAGAUAUCAGGAGGAACACCGGUGGCGAAGGCGACUUCCUGGUCCUAUACUGACGCUGAGACGCGAGAGCGUGGGGAGCAAACAGGAUUAGACACCCUGGUAGUCCACGCCGUAAACG
rnacentral:rRNA from 1 species